UACAGAGGGUGCGAGCGUUAAUCGGAAUUACUGGGCGUAAAGAGCUCGUAGGCGGUUUGUCGCGUCGUCCGUGAAAACUUGGGGCUCAACCCCAAGCUUGCGGGCGAUACGGGCAGACUUGAGUACUGCAGGGGAGACUGGAAUUCCUGGUGUAGCGGUGAAAUGCGCAGAUAUCAGGAGGAACACCGAUGGCGAAGGCAGGUCUCUGGGCAUUAACUGACGCUGAGGAGCGAAAGCAUGGGGAGCGAACAGG
rnacentral:rRNA from 1 species